GGGUUGUGAGGUUAAGCGACUAAGCGUACACGGUGGAUGCCCUGGCAGUCAGAGGCGAUGAAGGACGUGCUAAUCUGCGAUAAGCGUCGGUAAGGUGAUAUGAACCGUUAUAACCGGCGAUUUCCGAAUGGGGAAACCCAGUGUGAUUCGUCACACUAUCAUUAACUGAAUCCAUAGGUUAAUGAGGCGAACCGGGGGAACUGAAACAUCUAAGUACCCCGAGGAAAAGAAAUCAACCGAGAUUCCCCCAGUAGCGGCGAGCGAACGGGGAGGAGCCCAGAGCCUGAAUCAGUGUGUGUGUUAGUGGAAGCGUCUGGAAAGGCGCGCGAUACAGGGUGACAGCCCCGUACACAAAAAUGCACAUACUGUGAGCUCGAUGAGUAGGGCGGGACACGUGGUAUCCUGUCUGAAUAUGGGGGGACCAUCCUCCAAGGCUAAAUACUCCUGACUGACCGAUAGUGAACCAGUACCGUGAGGGAAAGGCGAAAAGAACCCCGGCGAGGGGAGUGAAAAAGAACCUGAAACCGUGUACGUACAAGCAGUGGGAGCCUCUUUAUGGGGUGACUGCGUACCUUUUGUAUAAUGGGUCAGCGACUUAUAUUCUGUAGCAAGGUUAACCGAAUAGGGGAGCCGAAGGGAAACCGAGUCUUAACUGGGCGUUAAGUUGCAGGGUAUAGACCCGAAACCCGGUGAUCUAGCCAUGGGCAGGUUGAAGGUUGGGUAACACUAACUGGAGGACCGAACCGACUAAUGUUGAAAAAUUAGCGGAUGACUUGUGGCUGGGGGUGAAAGGCCAAUCAAACCGGGAGAUAGCUGGUUCUCCCCGAAAGCUAUUUAGGUAGCGCCUCGUGAAUUCAUCUCCGGGGGUAGAGCACUGUUUCGGCAAGGGGGUCAUCCCGACUUACCAACCCGAUGCAAACUGCGAAUACCGGAGAAUGUUAUYACGGGAGACACACGGCGGGUGCUAACGUCCGUCGUGAAGAGGGAAACAACCCAGACCGCCAGCUAAGGUCCCAAAGUCAUGGUUAAGUGGGAAACGAUGUGGGAAGGCCCAGACAGCCAGGAUGUUGGCUUAGAAGCAGCCAUCAUUUAAAGAAAGCGUAAUAGCUCACUGGUCGAGUCGGCCUGCGCGGAAGAUGUAACGGGGCUAAACCAUGCACCGAAGCUGCGGCAGCGACACUAUGUGUUGUUGGGUAGGGGAGCGUUCUGUAAGCCUGUGAAGGUGURCUGUGAGGYAUGCUGGAGGUAUCAGAAGUGCGAAUGCUGACAUAAGUAACGAUAAAGCGGGUGAAAAGCCCGCUCGCCGGAAGACCAAGGGUUCCUGUCCAACGUUAAUCGGGGCAGGGUGAGUCGACCCCUAAGGCGAGGCCGAAAGGCGUAGUCGAUGGGAAACAGGUUAAUAUUCCUGUACUUGGUGUUACUGCGAAGGGGGGACGGAGAAGGCUAUGUUGGCCGGGCGACGGUUGUCCCGGUUUAAGCGUGUAGGCUGAUUUUCCAGGCAAAUCCGGAAAAUCAAGGCUGAGGCGUGAUGACGAGGCACUACGGUGCUGAAGCAACAAAUGCCCUGCUUCCAGGAAAAGCCUCUAAGCAUCAGGUAACAUCAAAUCGUACCCCAAACCGACACAGGUGGUCAGGUAGAGAAUACCAAGGCGCUUGAGAGAACUCGGGUGAAGGAACUAGGCAAAAUGGUGCCGUAACUUCGGGAGAAGGCACGCUGAUAUGUAGGUGAAGCGACUUGCUCGUGGAGCUGAAAUCAGUCGAAGAUACCAGCUGGCUGCAACUGUUUAUUAAAAACACAGCACUGUGCAAACACGAAAGUGGACGUAUACGGUGUGACGCCUGCCCGGUGCCGGAAGGUUAAUUGAUGGGGUUAGCGGUAACGCGAAGCUCUUGAUCGAAGCCCCGGUAAACGGCGGCCGUAACUAUAACGGUCCUAAGGUAGCGAAAUUCCUUGUCGGGUAAGUUCCGACCUGCACGAAUGGCGUAAUGAUGGCCAGGCUGUCUCCACCCGAGACUCAGUGAAAUUGAACUCGCUGUGAAGAUGCAGUGUACCCGCGGCAAGACGGAAAGACCCCGUGAACCUUUACUAUAGCUUGACACUGAACAUUGAGCCUUGAUGUGUAGGAUAGGUGGGAGGCUUUGAAGUGUGGACGCCAGUCUGCAUGGAGCCGACCUUGAAAUACCACCCUUUAAUGUUUGAUGUUCUAACGUUGGCCCSUKAUCSGGGUUGCGGACAGUGUCUGGUGGGUAGUUUGACUGGGGCGGUCUCCUCCUAAAGAGUAACGGAGGAGCACGAAGGUUGGCUAAUCCUGGUCGGACAUCAGGAGGUUAGUGCAAUGGCAUAAGCCAGCUUGACUGCGAGCGUGACGGCGCGAGCAGGUGCGAAAGCAGGUCAUAGUGAUCCGGUGGUUCUGAAUGGAAGGGCCAUCGCUCAACGGAUAAAAGGUACUCCGGGGAUAACAGGCUGAUACCGCCCAAGAGUUCAUAUCGACGGCGGUGUUUGGCACCUCGAUGUCGGCUCAUCACAUCCUGGGGCUGAAGUAGGUCCCAAGGGUAUGGCUGUUCGCCAUUUAAAGUGGUACGCGAGCUGGGUUUAGAACGUCGUGAGACAGUUCGGUCCCUAUCUGCCGUGGGCGCUGGAGAACUGAGGGGGGCUGCUCCUAGUACGAGAGGACCGGAGUGGACGCAUCACUGGUGUUCGGGUUGUCAUGCCAAUGGCACUGCCCGGUAGCUAAAUGCGGAAGAGAUAAGUGCUGAAAGCAUCUAAGCACGAAACUUGCCCCGAGAUGAGUUCUCCCUGACUCCUUGAGAGUCCUGAAGGAACGUUGAAGACGACGACGUUGAUAGGCCGGGUGUGUAAGCGCAGCGAUGCGUUGAGCUAACCGGUACUAAUGAACCGUGAGGCUUAACCUUACAACGCCGAAG
rnacentral:rRNA from 1 species